GAACACAAAAAGGUGAAGUAGGUCCCCUGGAAAGAGGUCAGCUUAGAGUGUGAAUCUAGCUGAGUGCGCCCACCCAAUGUUUCUACACCUGAGGAGUGUGUGUGUACAUUUCACUUACUAUUACACUUUAUUUAUGUACACACACGAAGAUAACCAAGAAGAUAAGAAGUCAAGAUUAUGGAAAAACAACAAUUAAAGUGAUGAGUGUUAGGUCAGUCAUGGGCAUCUCUCAGGUUCCACUCCUCUUUCUCGCUCCUCACCUUGGCAACUCAGGGACCACUCUUGGGGGGGAAUUAAAUCCUGAACAAAGGAUGCUUUUAUUAUCAGAACCCAAGGAAAAUCAGCAAAAAUCACAGCUUGCCAAAAUUGGACGGAACCUUCAAAAGAGCCCUUGGAUCCAGCUUUCUGUCCUCCAGGGUGGGAGGAAUGGCUGUUGACAGGCCCGUGGUGACGAGGCCUCCCCGAGGCCGGGUGGGAGCCGACGCGUCCAGGCCAGGCGCUCGGCACGGCGCCCCGCAAAGGCCUCUAAGAGGGUGUCUGCGGUGCCGGCCGCCCGGCUCCAGGGGCCUCUCGGCCCCGGGGAUCCCCCGUACAACUCCGGGGCCACGCGGACCCUCCACGCCCUCGGGCGGAGGCUGUGGGCUUCCCUGGGUCGAAGCCCACCAGGCCCCCGAAAGCUACGAUCCGGGAGGCCGACGAACCCGCCCUCUCCCGGGAAGGCAGGUCACGAAGCGGACCCGACGCUCUGGGAAGUCGGUCGCUGGGGACCAUGCCCGUUUUUGUUGUAGCCCAGCCAGCCACGGACCCCUGGGACAAGCCUCUGAGAAGGAAGUCGAGCUGUCCAGUCCCGCAUCGAGGGAGACAGCAGUGGAGCCCCGGCGUCUGUCAUCGAGCCGAGGGACGCGGGCGCCGGACGAUUAGGGGUCGGGGAAGCGGUUCAGGUGAAGCAGCAAUGCGCUCCAGGAGAGAGCACAGCUCUGGGCCAAGGAGCAGUGUCUGGCCUGGACUGCGCAGUGCAUCUGGGUUUCCUGGGAACUGCAAGGUUAAAGAGAGGUGGCAUGCAGUCACCCGGAGCUCUGCAGCUGGCCUAGAAAUGAGAGCUGCUUCUCUAUGUCAAGUUUAGAUCCUCCAGUCAAGAAUGGGUGUUCGUGUUUACGGAUAAGUGAGAAAGAGGAAAGCAACGCGUGGCAUCCCGGAGCUGGCCUGACAGCUAGGUCUUGGUUUUCUGUGGAUCAGAAACAGUUUCACACAACAUUGACAUCAGUCUGACUGUGAUGGAUCAAGACAGACAAAGCACUCCAUGAUCAUCCUGAGUCGAACAUAAACAUUGUCUAAGCCAGGAACUACCAAAUAUCCUCUCUCCCAGCUAAGUACAGCUACUUCACCAGCAGCAGCUUAGCCACUCUGGUCGGCCCUCCCUAUAGCCUAGAUUCCCUAAGAUACCAAGCCUAACAUUAACAAACAAAAGUUAAUACAAACUAAUACAAAUAUGGAAAAUUCACUCUCUGACAGGAGUCAGUCCCCGGGAAAGUUGUGCUUCCUUAAACCCUUUAAAUCACCUAUCAAGCGCAAAGCCUGUAAUCAUGUUCCAAAACUCUUUUAAUGAAAACCCCCAUGGUUCUCUGGUGUGCAUUCUCCUUCACAGCAAUGAGUAAUAAACCCGGCUUUUUCAGUAA